CUUUCGCGUCUGCGGUGCCCGGAGUGUGGUACUUCUCCUAGUUGCAGUCAGGCUUCAUACGCUAUUGUCCUGCCCGUUAGAGCAGCCAGCGGGUACAGAAUGGAUUUUGGAAGAGGGAGUCACCACUGGACCUCCAAGGAAGCCACGUGCAGACAUCUACAACCUUCGAUCUCCUGACGAAUUUUGCCUGCCUGAGCUCCUCUAGUAGUGGCCACAAUUGCCAGAGAAGAUAGAGCAGGUCUCUCCCAGGACUUGCAGCUCCAGCCUGUGUCUGCAAGGGGUGUUGUAGCGACUGAUUUCUCCAGCCCAUGGCAAGAGGCCUUCAUCUUGUGCCUGGAAAGAGGGAAGUACAAGUCCGUCUGGCAGAGAUGGUGCAGAUGGGCAAGUUUUUCAGACACUGCAGCCAGCACUUCUGGGACCGCAGCAGUGGAGCCUGCAGAGGGCCGGUUCUCCAGGCAUGGGCUACUGACAUUGUCACUUCCAGACUCCUUAUGCAAUAAACAACCCCUAAACAGAUUUAUUCACAAUUUCUCCAUCCUAACAAGUCAGUGAUCAGUUUUCACUUUUCCACAUUCCCUUCUGUCCCCAUUAUGUUCCCAUAGUGGGGCAGCUUCUACCUGCAUGGUUGGAGCUUCCCAUUUUUAAAGAGGCAAGAAAUCCUUUAAAGUUCUUUGAAAUGUUUGUAGCCUGUUCCAAUUUUAUAAACUGUGAAGACUGAGCAACACACAAUGCAUGGGCCUCAUAUGGCCUGGAGGCCACCAGUUGGAGACCUCUGUAGCUUGAGCUGUGUCCCUUUCAGCACUGUUCUUGUCAUUCCUGAGCUGGGAUGCCCCCUGAAACAUAGGAUGCUCAGUUAAAUUUGAAUUUCUUUUUUUUUUUCCUUGAAAUGGAGUGUCGCUCUGUCGCCAGGCUGGAGUGCUGUGGCGUGAUCUCAGCUCACUGCAACCUCCACCUCCCUAGUUCAAGUGAUUCUCCUGCCUCAGCCUCCCGAGUAGCUGGGAUUACAGGCAUGCACCACCACACCCAGCUAAUUUUUGUAUUUUUAGUAGAGACAGAGUUUCACCAUGUUGGCCAGGAUGGUCUUGAUCUCCUAACCUCAUGAUCUGCCCGCCUCGGCCUCCCAAAGUGCUGUGAUUACAGGUGUGAACCACUGCGCCCGGCCGAUGGCAAUCAUUCUUUAAGAUGCAGCCUCCGUGGACCUCGUACCUUCUCAGUAAUUUCCAUAUUCUUUGCUGACUUGGGUUUUUCCUCCAAAAUUGUCUGGGAUAAAUUGAGGUUUGUGGAGUUUCCUGAUGGCUAGUUUCCAAACUGGCUUCAAAGCCUGGGCUUGUGGAAUUGGCUGGGUCUGCGGCCAGCCUAACCCAUCCUUCGGUCACAGUCUCCCAUGGUCCUGAUAUUAAUUCAUCACAGGUCUGUUUAGAAGGUGGCAGAAACAGACGGUCUUGGGCUUAUUUAUAUCUGUGGCUUUUUUUAAAAGACAGAAAAGGAGAAAUCUGGAUCCUUUCCUUGUCAGCCUCCUUUAACUAAAUGGUCUUUUGCUAAAAUAGACUGGCCCCACUGUGUGGGUAGGAAGGGUUGAGAUGGGAGUGGGCCAAGUGAGUGAGAACUUUUUUUUUUUGCCUUGAUGUUAAAAUGGCAGCAUGUGCAGUCUUCUGCCUCUGCCCAGGUUGACCUGAUGUUUUUACAGGGAGAGAGGCUGCUUGUUGAGUGUGGUGGUAUUUAUCAUAGUGUAUGUUAGGCUGCCUCAAACAUCCCUCGCUGUCGUACCUUUCAGCCAACUCUAAUGUACCUCUCUCAGCCUGAUUUCUCCCCACUUGAGUUAUAAUAACAACAACUGCCUUUUAAAAAAUUUCCUACUGGGCUUCAUGCUAGGUACUUUCCACGUUUUAUUUUUAUUUAUUUAUUUUUUGAGACAGAGUCUCACUCUGUCACCCACGCUGGAGUGCAGUGGUGUGAUCGCAGCUCACUGCAGCCUCAAACUCCUGGGCUCAAGCGAGCCUCCUGCCUCAGCCUCCCGAAUAGCUGGGACUACAGGUUUGUGCUACUGUGCCCGGCUAAUUUUUCUAUUUUUUUGUAGAGACAGUGUCUCCCUUUGUUUCCCAGGCUGAUCUCUCCUGGGCUCAAGCGAUCCUCCUGCCUCAACCUCCCAAAGUAUUGGGAUUACUGGUGUGAGCCACCAUUAUAUGUUUUAAAUAAUUUAUUCCUCACCUCAAGUGAGUGAGGUAACAUCCCAGUUUUACAGACAAGGAAACAGAUUGGGCAGGGGAAGUGACUUGCCUCAGAUGCACAAUAAAUGGCUCUGCCAGUGUCUUCCUUAGCGCCUCCGAUCCCCUUCUCACCCUUGUCCUCUCUGCUCCUCUCUGCUCAAUGCUCCUGGGAGCGUGAACUGCAUUAAUGGCUCCUUGUCUGGUGGCCUCAAGGUUCCCCAGGAGGCAGGGAGGGUGAGGCUGAGAUGUGUGCUCCCCUAAGGCACAUGCCUCAGCCUGGCUGCCUCUGUCUAAGGCCACAGCCCCUCAAGUGCUUCCCCACCUGACUUUCUGGGCUCUGGUAACCGCUUCCUGCCUGCCCCAUCAGGUGUAGGGGGUGCUUCAUGGGUCAACAUUAGCUUAUGUGGUUUCCUUAUAUCCUGGGCGCACCUUUGUUAGUCUCAAAUUACAUUCUGCUUGAACUAUUCUCUAUCCAGUGGGUUGUGACUAUCUAGAGGCAGAGUUGGGAUUUGAACCCCAAGACUUCAAAAUAAGCUCUGUGCAAAUGGCCUCCCAGAGCUGCCUGCUGGUUUCUUCUGCGAGGCCUGGCUUCUCCAUUUUGGCUUGGACCAUGGCCUGCUGUCAUUUCCACAACAGUUGCAGGAAGUUGCCAAAUGCGUUUUCUGUGACUGCC
ensembl:lncRNA ZFAS1 ZNFX1 antisense RNA 1